CGAUAGUGAACAAGUACCGUGAGGGAAAGAUGAAAAGCACUUUGGAAAGAGAGUUAAACAGUAUGUGAAAUUGUUGAAAGGGAAACGCUUGAAGUCAGUCACAUUCUGCAGAACUCAGCCUUGCCUCAAGGCUUGGUGCACUUUCUGUAGGAUGGGUCAACAUCAAUCUUGGUCAGUGGAUAAAGGAGAAGGGAAUGUAGCACCUUUACAGGUGUGUUAUAGCCCUCCUUCAUAUACAUUGGCUGGGAUUGAGGACUGCAGCAUGCCCUUGUGGCCUCAGAUUAUGUUACAUGCUUAGGAUGUUGACAAAAUGGCUUUAAGCGACCCGUCUUGAAACACGGACCAAGGAGUCUAACAUGCCUGCAAGUGUUUGGGUGGAAAACCCUUGCGCAUAAUGAAAGUGAAAGUUGGGAACCUCCGCAAGGGGGUGCACCAAUGCCCGGCCCAGAUGUUUACUGAUGGUGCUGCGGUAGAGCAUGUAUGUUGGGACCCGAAAGAUGGUGAACUAUGCCUGAA
rnacentral:rRNA from 1 species